GAGACAGAUCUGGUCAUCGGACGCCCGGGAUCGAUAUGAUGAACGAGCAGCGCUGGCUAACUUCAUCUAUCCAAUCAAGAAAACUCUGUAUAUGUAGUUCGGCUGGCAGCUAAGCUACAAUACUGAAUAACGUAACAAUUAUAGUUUUUUUUAAAAAAUACAGUACAAACGCAGGAACUCAGAAUACAACAAUCACCCAUCUCUAUAAACUCAUACAUACACUUUGUAUCUCUAUAAGCAUUUUUGAAAGACUUGAUAUCUUGAGAUUGAAGAAUAUAUAUGUAUCAACAUACAUAUGUAUGGAUGCAGUGAAAUCGAUCGAUCGUUCGAUAUGCGU
rnacentral:sRNA from 1 species